rnacentral:rRNA from 1 species
GUGGGGAAUCUUGCGCAAUGGGCGCAAGCCUGAUCCAGCCAUGCCGCGUGAGUGAUGAAGGCCCUAGGGUUGUAAAGCUCUUUCACCGGUGAAGAUAAUGACGGUAACCGGAGAAGAAGCCCCGGCUAACUUCGUGCCAGCAGCCGCGGUAAUACGAAGGGGGCUAGCGUUGUUCGGAAUUACUGGGCGUAAAGCGCACGUAGGCGGACAUUUAAGUCAGGGGUGAAAUCCCGGGGCUCAACCCCGGAACUGCCUUUGAUACUGGGUGUCUGGAGUAUGGAAGAGGUAAGUGGAAUUCCGAGUGUAGAGGUGAAAUUCGUAGAUAUUCGGAGGAACACCAGUGGCGAAGGCGGCUUACUGGUCCAUUACUGACGCUGAGGUGCGAAAGCGUGGGGAGCAAACAGGAUUAGAAACCCCUGUAGUC